CCUACGGGUGGCAGCAGUGAGGAAUCUUCGUCAAUGGACGAGAGUCUGAACCAGCCAAGUAGCGUGAAGGAUGACUGCCCUAUGGGUUGUAAACUUCUUUUAUAUGGGAGUAAAAUGUUCCACGUGUGGGAUUUUGUAUGUACCAUAUGAAUAAGGAUCGGCUAACUCCGUUCCAGCAGCCGCGGUAAUACGGAGGAUCCGAGCGUUAUCCGGAUUUAUUGGGUUUAAAGGGAGCGUAGGUGGAUUGUUAAGUCAGUUGUGAAAGUUUGCGGCUCAACCGUAAAAUUGCAGUUGAAACUGGCAGUCUUGAGUACAGUAGAGGUGGGCGGAAUUCGUGGUGUAGCGGUGAAAUGCUUAGAUAUCACGAAGAACUCCGAUUGCGAAGGCAGUUCACUGGACUGCAACUGACACUGAGGCUCGAAAGUGUGGGUAUCAAACAGGAUUAGAUACCCCAGUAGUC
rnacentral:rRNA from 1 species